UACGGGGGGGGCAAGCGUUGUUCGGAAUUACUGGGCGUAAAGGGCGCGUAGGCGGUUUGCUAAGUCGGAUGUGAAAACUCUGGGCUCAACCCAGAGCCUGCAUCCGAAACUGGCAGGCUAGAGUUCUGGAGGGGGUAGCGGAAUUCCUGGUGUAGCGGUGAAAUGCGUAGAUAUCAGGAGGAACACCGGUGGCGAAGGCGGCAUCCUGGACCGAUACUGACGU
rnacentral:rRNA from 1 species